rnacentral:rRNA from 1 species
GCACUGUUUCGUAUGCGGGCUGGUAAUUCGGUACCAAAUCGUUGCAAACUAAGAAUACUAAGUGGAAAAUUUAUCAGUGAGACUGUGGGGGAUAAGCUCCAUUGUCAAGAGGGAAACAGCCCAGAGCACCAGUUAAGGCCCCUAAAUAAUUGCUAAGUGAUAAAGGAGGUGGGAGUGCAAAAACAAUCAGGAGGUUUGCUUAGAAGCAGCAAUCCUUUAAAGAGUGCGUAAUAGCUCACUGAUCGAGUAAACCUGCGCCGAAAAUGUACGGGACUAAGCAAUUUGCCGAAACUGUGCGAUAUAUUUGAAAUAUAUCGGUAGGGGAGCGUUCUGUUGUAGGUUGAAGUAUUAGCGGAAGCGGAUAUAGACGAAGCAGAAGUGAGAAUGUCGGCUUGAGUAACGAAAAUAUAGGUGAGAAUCCUAUACCCCGAAAACCUAAGGUUUCCUCCGGAAGGCUCGUCCGCGGAGGGUAAGUCAGGACCUAAGGCGAGGCUGAAAAGCGUAGUCGAUGGACAACGGGUUAAUAUUCCCGUACCAUUAUUUAUUGAUAACGAGGGACGGAGAAGGCUAAGCUAGCCGGAUAUUGGUUACCGGUUGAAACGUUCAAGAUGUUGAGAAGCGGGGAAAACGCUUUGAGUUGAGGCGUGAGUACGAAAUGCUACGGCAUUGAAGUAGUGUAUGUCAGACUUCCAAGAAAAGCUCGCAAUGUCAUAAAUAAAUAAUGCCUGUACCAUAACCGACACAGGUGGGUAGGUAGAGUAUACUAAGGGGCGCGAGAUAACUCUCUCUAAGGAACUCGGCAAAAUGACUCCGUAACUUCGGGAGAAGGAUCAC